UACGUAGGGUGCGAGCGUUAAUCGGAAUUACUGGGCGUAAAGCGUGCGUAGACGGUUGCGUAAGUCAGAUGUGAAAGCCCCGGGCUCAACCUGGGAAUUGCAUUUGAGACUGCGUAGCUAGGGUGCGGAAGAGGGAAGCGGAAUUUCCGGUGUAGCGGUGAAAUGCGUAGAUAUCGGAAGGAACACCAGUGGCGAAAGCGGCUUCCUGGUCCAGCACCGACGUUCAGGCACGAAAGCGUGGGAGCAAACAGG
rnacentral:rRNA from 1 species